ACAUAUUCAUAUUUUUGAUUUUUAGAUGAUAAUAAAAUAUUCAGUUUGGGAUAAAUUAAAGGCGUUGUCGGAAUGUUCAGGAGCUCAGCUUUCAAAUAUGGCCAAAUUGUUGAUGCAUUUAUUCUUAGAAAAAGGUCUUCCAAUUUCAACAUUAAAAAUAAUGCAAUUUAGUGAACUUGAUAAAAUAACUCUCCGUUUUGUAAGACAAAUACUUUUGGGUAUUUUAUUGUGCGAAGACUUAGAGCAGUGUCUUCAAGUAUUUGAGAAGGUGUCCCAAGGAGAAAAAUUGAAGUUGUUUAGAGAAAGCAUCAGACUUUUUAUAAAACACUUUUUGUUGAGGAAUUUGAAGGUCAAUAAUGUUUCUGACGAUCAGAAAAAUCUCCUUGAAGAAAGAGCUAAUCUAAUUGAUAAAAUGUUAAGCCAACAUGAUAGAAAAAUUCGAUUCUAGCAUUCUAGGUGUAUAUAUGUAUGUUGUAUAUAUUUACCCAUAUUAAUAGUAAUACCAAUCAAUAAAAUUGUUAAAUUUUUAA